ACAGAGGAACUCAACAGCCCGGCUAAAACAGGUAGCUUCAGCCUCCAGCGCAAAUUUCAAAACUCGGGCGUUUUAAGGGAGGGUGUAAUGCGCAUUGUCCCAUUCGGCUCUUUGUUGUCGUUCUGAAAUUUCUGUUUAAAGGAGCUUUCACUCUACAAAUGGCGAAUGAGCAACAAUCUUUGAAGCCAUGGUUCCUCGACUUGGUGCCGUUCAUGGUGGUUUUGUUAAUUGCCGCUCAUGUCCUCGCUCUGGUUUACUGGAUGUACAAAUUAGCUACUGAGAAACAGCCUCAGCGACGAAAGACACACUAAUAUAGAGAAAGGAAGUUCUUUAAUCCAAUGCUGAUAUUAUUCUGUGUAGAGAGGGUGGUUUCUACCACAUUGUAACAGGCUGCAAUUCUCUUCUGUGGAGCUAAGUUUUCUUUUUAUCAGAUUGUGCUACUUGUUCCUUGUCUGUAGAUUGUUUCUCAGGAGGAUCUUGCUUUGUCUUCUUGUUUACUCACUUGAAUGGCUCACUUAUCAUUCUGUUAUGCCUAAAAACAGUUUCAUUUAUUGUGUUGUUUACCCUCUGUAACUCACCUAUCAUGUCUUGUCUUGUCAUUAGUAUUGAUGUUCUUGCAAGCAUUGGAGUGGUGCAUGUAUUAUCUUUGGAUCAUUCUGUUGUUUACCCAAGACAUGCAUGCACUUGUGCACAUGUAUAACUUUUCAUAGUUCUAUACAGCAAUCACAUUAUUCAA